UAUCCCCAAGAGCUUAUUUCACUCCCUAACUAGUUAUCCUUUUUUUAUUAACAGUUUGAAGGUGGCUAUGCUCCUCAUUUUUUUGUUUUCAAUUUCAAAAGGGCUAAAGGCUCCAGACGGAAAUGCUUUUCCCCUAUCACAAGUCUUGU
rnacentral:tRNA from 2 species